UAGUCCACGCCGUAAACGAUGUCAACUAGCCGUUGGACCCCUUGAGGGUUUUGUGGCACAGCUAACGCACUAAGUUGACCGCCUGGGGAGUACGGUCGCAAGAUUAAAACUCAAAUGAAUUGACGGGGGCCCGCACAAGCGGUGGAGCAUGUGGUUUAAUUCGAUGCAACGCGAAGAACCUUACCUGGCCUUGACAUCCAGAGAACUUUCCAGAGAUGGAUUGGUGCCUUCGGGAACUCUGAGACAGGUGCUGCAUGGCUGUCGUCAGCUCGUGUUGUGAAAUGUUGGGUUAAGUCCCGUAACGAGCGCAACCCUUGUCCUUAUUUGCCAGCACGUAAUGGUGGGAACUCUAAGGAGACUGCCGGUGACAAACCGGAGGAAGGUGGGGACGACGUCAAGUCAUCAUGGCCCUUACGGCCAGGGCUACACACGUGCUACAAUGGAACGUACAGAGGGCGGCGAAGCCGCGAGGUGGAGCAAAUCCCAGAAAACGUUUCGUAGUCCGGAUUGGAGUCUGCAACUCGA
rnacentral:rRNA from 1 species